rnacentral:rRNA from 1 species
GAUGAACGCUGGCGGCGUGCCUAAUACAUGCAAGUCGAGCGAACGGACGAGAAGCUUGCUUCUCUGAUGUUAGCGGCGGACGGGUGAGUAACACGUGGAUAACCUACCUAUAAGACUGGGAUAACUUCGGGAAACCGGAGCUAAUACCGGAUAAUAUUUUGAACCGCAUGGUUCAAAAGUGAAAGACGGUCUUGCUGUCACUUAUAGAUGGAUCCGCGCUGCAUUAGCUAGUUGGUAAGGUAACGGCUUACCAAGGCAACGAUGCAUAGCCGACCUGAGAGGGUGAUCGGCCACCCUGGAACUGAGCCCCGGUCCAGACUCCUACGGGAGGCAGCAGUAGGGAAUCUUCCGCAAUGGGCGAAAGCCUGACGGAGCAACGCCGCGUGAGUGAUGAAGGUCUUCGGAUCGUAAAACUCUGUUAUUAGGGAAGAACAUAUGUGUAAGUAACUGUGCACAUCUUGACGGUACCUAAUCAGAAAGCCACGGCUAACUACGUG